AUUGAACGCUGGCGGCAGGCCUAACACAUGCAAGUCGAGCGGAUGAAGGGAGCUUGCUCCUGGAUUCAGCGGCGGACGGGUGAGUAAUGCCUAGGAAUCUGCCUGGUAGUGGGUGAUAACGUCCGGAAACGGGCGCUAAUACCGCAUACGUCCUGAGGGAGAAAGUGGGGGAUCUUCGGACCUCACGCUAUCAGAUGAGCCUAGGUCGGAUUAGCUAGUUGGUGGGGUAAAGGCCUACCAAGGCGACGAUCCGUAACUGGUCUGAGAGGAUGAUCAGUCACACUGGAACUGAGACACGGUCCAGGCUACUACGGGAGGCAGCAGUGGGGAACAUUGGACAGUGGGCGAAAGCCUGAUCCAGCCAUGCCGCGUGUGUGAAGAAGGUCUUCGGAUUGUAAAGAACUUUAAGUUGGGAGGAAGGGCAGUAAGUUAAUACCUUGCUGUUUUGACGUUAACAACAGAAUAAGCACCGGCUAACUUCGUG
rnacentral:rRNA from 1 species